UUCUUAUCCAGAGAGGCGGAGGGACUGGCCCGUUGAUGCCCGGCAACCACUUGUUUAUUGCAAGAUGGUGCUAAUUCCUGCAGGACAAUUUUGUUCUGAAAGAUGAGAA
rnacentral:ncRNA from 2 species